rnacentral:rRNA from 1 species
CAGUAGCCGCGGAAUACGUAUGUCACAAGCGUUAUCCGGAUUUAUUGGGCGUAAAGCGCGUCUAGGUGGUUAUGUAAGUCAGACGUGAAAAUGCAGGGCUCAACUCUGUAUUGUGUUGGGAAACUGUGUAACUAGAGUACUGGAGAGGUAAGCAGAACUACAAGUGUAGAGGUGAAAUUCGUAGAUAUUUGUAGGAAUGUCGAUGGGGAAGCCAGCUUACUGGACAGAUACUGACGCUAAAGCGCGAAAGCGUGGGUAGCAAACAGGAUUAGAUACCCCGGUAGUCCCUGUCUCUUAUACA